UACAGAGGUCCCGAGCGUUGUUCGGAUUCAUUGGGCGUAAAGGGCGCGUAGGCGGCCUGCUAAGUCGAACGUGAAAUCCCUGGGCUCAACCCAGGAACUGCGUCCGAUACUGGUUGGCUUGAAUCCGGGAGAGGGAUGUGGAAUUCCAGGUGUAGCGGUGAAAUGCGUAGAUAUCUGGAGGAACACCGGUGGCGAAGGCGACAUCCUGGACCGGUAUUGACGCUGAGGCGCGAAAGCCAGGGGAGCAAACGGG
rnacentral:rRNA from 1 species